GUCAGUUUUUGUUUGUCUGUGGUGCACUUUGUUUGUUUUAUUCAGUGCUGUUCCCUGUGUUUUGCUAUUAUGUUAGCUAAAUGUUUUACUGCAUUUAGAUCCGAUAUGGUUUUGAUGACAAGGCUCACCACAGUCUAGCUCUGGUGUGUCAGGUGACAUUUGCACGAGGAUCUAUCACUGCAACAUCAACAGUCAGGGUGUGAUCUGUCUGGACAUCCUGAAGGACAACUGGAGUCCGGCGCUCACCAUCUCCAAAGUGCUGCUGUCCAUCUGCUCUCUCCUCACAGACUGUAACCCUGGACCAUAAUGUGACGAACAAAUGAUUGAAUCAGUGUUUGAACCAAUUCGCUGAAACCGUUUGAAGUAAUAAAUCCCUGAAACUCCAGAGGGAGAUUUGCUGAGGUUUAAAUCUGAGACAUUGAUUUCUUUUUUAGUGAUCUCAUCUCUCACUCGCACAUGUCUUGAGUGCAAAAUUUUGAUCACUGUUUCUACCAGAAAGCAUUGCAUUUUAAUACAUGCAGGGGUCUUUGGUUUAUUACUAUAAAGCACUUUAUAAUCUUAAAUAAAAUGUUGCAGCCUCACUGUAAACCCUAACGAGCUGGCAGAACUCAAAUAUAAAAUGAUCAGUAGCAUAACUGCAAGAUUUAGUGACAUUUCAACUUCGUUUUUUUUUUUUUUUUUUGCAUAAACUGAUACACAUUGAUCACACUUGCCUGUAGUGCUAUUUCCCGUCGUGGCUGAACUGCACAAUGAUUAUUUCUGAUUUACGGCUGUAUUUUAUUCCUGCAGUGGUAGUGUUGCCUCUGUCCCUUUGAGGUCUUGUUUAUUAAUUUAGAGCAUUUUUUUUUUGUAACCUUGUGACCCAUCUUCUGUCAUGGUCAUUGUUGUUUAACUUGAUGUACAUUUUAGAAACUCUGUUCUGGUUACUCUAAAACGUUUCUGUUUCUCACGAGAAGGAAAUAAUAAAUGCAUGUCAAGGCUAAUUAUUCCCCCUAUUCAAUAGUUAAUUGCUUUGAGCAUCGGGUUUGCAGUGCUGUUGGUAUUUCUUCAAGCCAAACGACUCGAUAUUCUCUCAGUAGAUGUAUUGACUCUUUUCAGAUCAUGUACUGAUGUAUCUCACAGUGGAAUUGUCUGUUGUAUCUCUGAACAUGAGCUCAGUGCUCAUUUUCACUCCCCUAAUAUGAGCAAGGUCAUCGAGCUGCAGGAGACGCAAGCAAUCAUGCAUUAUUUUGCAUAUUUUAGUCUAAUUGUACCACAGAUUCUCCAUUAUUGCUGCUCUCACUGACGCUAAAUGAUCUAGAUUUAAGCUGUAAUCUGUUUCUCAGACCCUUUCCACAACUAGGGUGUAUGUUUUCCUCUCUCUGACUCUGUAAUAUAUUUUGGGGAGAUGUGGCAUUUUCCUGCUUUGUAUACUGUGGCGCAAAUCAGUAUAUUAAUUUUUUUCCCCCCCAUUUUCGUCAAGAUAUUUUAGUGAGGUUUUGAGAAAUCGAGUGUGUAAUGCAUUAUUGCUGUAAUGACCGACUUUUUUGAUGUCUGUGUCAUGAUGAGGUCCGUGUGAGGCAAAAUGUUGCUGCAAUACUGGCAAGCUAUAAUGAAAGUUUCUGUGUUUGAUUUGUGUUUUGUAGGCUGUUAGAGGGUCAUGAAGUCUGUGCAGUGGGCUUCUGAGUAACUGUUGCUUCUCUGUAGAUGUAGGGAAAACCAAUAAUUUGUACAAACUGCAAACAGAGUGGGAUCUACAGUGUAUAUACAAUAAACUAUCAACUUUCUAACCGAUGGGACCAGAUUGUUUAUUCCCGCUGUAGAAUGGGUCAUUCAAGGAUGACACAAGUUUUUAAUACUAUGGU